rnacentral:rRNA from 1 species
AGAGUUUGAUCCUGGCUCAGAACGAACGCUGGCGGCGCGCCUAAUACAUGCAAGUCGAGCGAGAAGACGUAGCAAUACGUUUGUAAAGCGGCGAACGGGUGAGGAAUACAUGGGUAACCUACCCUCGAGUGGGGAAUAACUAGCCGAAAGGUUAGCUAAUACCGCAUACGACUCUCGGUCUGCGGGUCGAGAGGGAAAGCGAUACCGUGGGUAUCGCGCUCAUGGAUGGGCUCAUGUCCUAUCAGCUUGUUGGUGAGGUAAUGGCUCACCAAGGCUUCGACGGGUAGCUGGUCUGAGAGGACGAUCAGCCACACUGGCACUGCGACACGGGCCAGACUCCUACGGGAGGCAGCAGUAAGGAAUAUUGCGCAAUGGGCGACAGCCUGACGCAGCGACGCCGCGUGGGGGAUGAAGGUCUUCGGAUUGUAAACCCCUUUCGGCAGGGAAGAUGGAACGGGUAACCGUUCGGACGGUACCUGCAGAAGCAGCCACGGCUAACUUCGUGCCAGCAGCCGCGGUAAUACGAAGGUGGCAAGCGUUGUUCGGAUUUACUGGGCGUACAGGGAGCGUAGGCGGUUGGGUAAGCCCUCCGUGAAAUCUCCGGGCCUAACCCGGAAAGUGCGGAGGGGACUGCUCGGCUAGAGGAUGGGAGAGGAGCGCGGAAUUCCCGGUGUAGCGGUGAAAUGCGUAGAGAUCGGGAGGAAGGCCGGUGGCGAAGGCGGCGCUCUGGAACAUUUCUGACGCUGAGGCUCGAAAGCGUGGGGAGCAAACAGGAUUAGAUACCCUGGUAGUCCACGCCU